GAUGAACGCUAGCUACAGGCUUAACACAUGCAAGUCGAGGGGCAGCAUGAACUUAGCUUGCUAAGUUUGAUGGCGACCGGCGCACGGGUGAGUAACGCGUAUCCAACCUACCCUUGUCCAUCGGAUAACCCGUCGAAAGGCGGCCUAACACGAUAUGCGGUUCUCAGCAGGCAUCUAACGAGAACGAAAUGUGAAGGAGAAGGAUGGGGAUGCGUCCGAUUAGCUAGUUGGCGGGGUAACGGCCCACCAAGGCGACGAUCGGUAGGGGUUCUGAGAGGAAGGUCCCCCACAUUGGAACUGAGACACGGUCCAAACUCCUACGGGAGGCAGCAGUGAGGAAUAUUGGUCAAUGGACGUAAGUCUGAACCAGCCAAGUAGCGUGCAGGAUGACGGCCCUAUGGGUUGUAAACUGCUUUUAUGCGGGGAUAAAGUGUGGGACGUGUCCCAUAUUGCAGGUACUGCAUGAAUAAGGACCGGCUAAUUCCGUGCCAGCAGCCG
rnacentral:rRNA from 1 species